AAGAACCGGUGGAAGUGACAUGGGUGGGCAGUGGCAGGAGGUAGCAGAAGCAAGCAGCUGUGGAGACAUCACUUGACUACCACCCCGAGGCAGAAGAUGAUCCCACUUGAACACUCCACUGGAUUCUGGGACUUCACUGACCUCAAACAACCAACUCUGAGAGGGGUGCAGCAGAGGGCAAAGGAGUGUGGUAUGUUAAAGGGACAUUAGUCCAUCAGAGACUUUCACAAAGCAAGGUGGGAAACUGAGGCAUAGGACUGCUGCCCCAAGAUACUGAGGGUUCUUCCCUGAUUCCUUGAAGGACUGUUUAUCAGAAGAAAAUUAAGACAAUAAACCUCCUGUAGUUCUAAGUCUGAACAGGGAUGGCAGAUAUCUGCCCCUUCUGCAGGCCACAAGGCUGCUAUUGCUCCUUCCUGCAGACAUGCAUACUGAAGAGUGUGCAAGGACCACAGCAUCCGCUCCCUGGAAAGAACAACACUGCCUUCUCAUGGAGGAACAGGUGCCUUUGCAUUGGCUUGAAACGUGCCAAAUCCUUCACUUUUGAGUGACCUUUUUUAUGAUCAGUCCAUACAUUGAAGGAUCCUUGCAUUAAAAGCUUG